UUUCCCUAUAUCAUGGUUUCCAAUGGUGCAUGGACUGGUGAAACUCCCCGGAUCUUUAAAUUUUGGAGGGAGAGUCUUUUGCAUGAUGGCACUGCAAUUUUCCUGCACUUCAAUUGUUUCCUCAUCUAAAUAUUUUUUCUUCUUGUUGAGGAUUUGCUUCAUGUACUUUGCAUAGGCAGGAAUUUGUUGUAGUGUUUCAGUCAAGGGCAUGGUGAUCUCCAACUGGUUGAAUAUUUGCUUGAACCGAGCCAAUUGUUUCUCAUUUUCUCUAUUGGAAGGAUUUUUGGGGUAAGGAAGAUUUUUCACAAUCUCCUUCUCUUUUUGCUUUUUCUCUUUUUCUUUGCCUUUAUUUUCUUCUUCUUUUCCAACAAU
rnacentral:lncRNA from 1 species